UUGACUUCUUGGCCUUUGGGCUGAGAUCAAGUAGAUUAUCUGUUCUUAUCAAUUUAGUGCGUGAUAUGUCCUCAGUCCAAGGACAAAAACUUAACUGGAUUCUGGAGCAGAAUGACGGAAUGGCGCUCGUUCAUUCCACUCAUCGGUCUGGAAGUGUGAUUUCUCCUGGAAUGGUACACACCCU